GUCGAACGGCAGCACGGACUUCGGUCUGGUGGCGAGUGGCGAACGGGUGAGUAAUAUAUCGGAACAUACCCAGUAGUGGGGGAUAACUAUCCGAAAGGAUAGCUAAUACCGCAUACGAUCUGUGGAUGAAAGCAGGGGAUCUUCGGACCUUGUGCUAUUGGAAUGGCCGAUAUCUGAUUAGCUAGUUGGUAGGGUAAAAGCCUACCAAGGCGACGAUCAGUAGCUGGUCUGAGAGGACGACCAGCCACACUGGAACUGAGACACGGUCCAGACUCCUACGGGAGGCAGCAGUGGGGAAUUUUGGACAAUGGGGGCAACCCUGAUCCAGCAAUGCCGCGUGAGUGAAGAAGGCCCUCGGGUUGUAAAGCUCUUUUGUCAGGGAAGAAACGGAGUUCUCUAAUAUAGGAUUCUAAUGACGGUACCUGAAGAAUAAGCACCGGCUAACUACGUGCCAGCAGCCGCGGUAAUACGUAGGGUGCAAGCGUUAAUCGGAAUUACUGGGCGUAAAGCGUGCGCAGGCGGUUUUGUAAGUCUGAUGUGAAAUCCCCGGGCUCAACCUGGGAACUGCAUUGGAGACUGCAAGGCUAGAGUGUGUCAGAGGGGGGUAGAAUUCCACGUGUAGCAGUGAAAUGCGUAGAGAUGUGGAGGAAUACCGAUGGCGAAGGCAGC
rnacentral:rRNA from 1 species